rnacentral:rRNA from 1 species
ACGGGAGGCAGCAGUGGGGAAUAUUGGGCAAUGGGGGGAACCCUGACCCAGCAACGCCGCGUGAGGGAAGAAGGUUUUCGGAUCGUAAACCUCUGUCCUUGGUGAAGAGAAAGAGACGGUAGCCAAGGAGGAAGCCUCGGCUAACUGCGUGCCAGCAGCCGCGGUAAUACGUAGGGGGCGAGCGUUGUCCGGAAUGACUGGGCGUAAAGGGCGUGUAGGCGGCCGAUUAAGUCUGGAGUGAAAGUCCUGCUUUCAAGGUGGGAAUUGCUUUGGAGACUGGUUGGCUUGAGUGCGGAAGAGGUAAGUGGAAUUCCCAGUGUAGCGGUGAAAUGCGUAGAGAUUGGGAGGAACACCAGUGGCGAAGGCGACUUACUGGGCCGUAACUGACGCUGAGGCGCGAAAGCGUGGGGAGCGAACAGGAUUAGAUACCCUGGUA